CAAGUCGAACGAUGAACCACUUCAGUGGGGAUUAUUGGCGAACGGGUGAGUAACACGUGGGCAAUCUGCCCUGCACUCUGGGACAAGCCCUGGAAACGGGGUCUAAUACCGGAUACUGAUCCUCGCACGCAUCUGCGAGGUUCGAAAGCUCCGGCGGCGCACGAUGAGCCCGCGGCCUAUCACCUAGUUGGUGAGGUAACGGCUCACCAAGGCGACGACGGGUAGCCGGCCUGAGAGGGCGACCGGCCACACUGGGACUGAGACACGGCCCAGACUCCUACGGGAGGCAGCAGUGGGGAAUAUUGCACAAUGGGCGAAAGCCUGAUGCAGCGACGCCGCGUGAGGGAUGACGGCCUUCGGGUUGUAAACCUCUUUCAGCAGGGAAGAAGCGAAAGUGACGGUACCUGCAGAAGAAGCGCCGGCUAACUACGUGCCAGCAGCCGCGGUAAUACGUAGGGCGCAAGCGUUGUCCGGAAUUAUUGGGCGUAAAGAGCUCGUAGGCGGCUUGUCACGUCGGUUGUGAAAGCCCGGGGCUUAACCCYGGGUCUGCAGUCGAUACGGGCAGGCUAGAGUUCGGUAGGGGAGAUCGGAAUUCCUGGUGUAGCGGUGAAAUGCGCAGAUAUCAGGAGGAACACCGGUGGCGAAGGCGGAUCUCUGGGCCGAUACUGACGCUGAGGAGCGAAAGCGUGGGGAGCGAACAGGAUUAGAUACCCUGGUAGUCCACGCCGUAAACGGUGGGCACUAGGUGUGGGCAACAUUCCACGUUGUCCGUGCCGCAGCUAACGCAUUAAGUGCCCCGCCUGGGGAGUACGGCCGCAAGGCUAAAACUCAAAGGAAUUGACGGGGGMCCGCACAAGCGGCGGAGCAUGUGGCUUAAUUCGACGCAACGCGAAGAACCUUACCAAGGCUUGACAUACACCGGAAAACCCUGGAGACAGGGUCCCCCUUGUGGUCGGUGUACAGGUGGUGCAUGGCUGUCGUCAGCUCGUGUCGUGAGAUGUUGGGUUAAGUCCCGCAACGAGCGCAACCCUUGUCCCGUGUUGCCAGCAGGCCCUUGUGGUGCUGGGGACUCACGGGAGACCGCCGGGGUCAACUCGGAGGAAGGUGGGGAGGACGUCAAGUCAUCAUCCCCCUCAUGUCUUGGGCUGCACACGUGCUACAAUGGCCGGUACAAUGAGCUGCGAUACCCCGAGGUGGAGCGAAUCUCAAAAAGCCGGUCUCAGUUCGGAUUGGGGUCUGCAACUCGACCCCAUGAAGUCGGAGUCGCUAGUAAUCGCAGAUCAGCAUUGCUGCGGUGAAUACGUUCCCGGGCCUUGUACACACCGCCCGUCACGUCACGAAAGUCGGUAACACCCGAAGCCGGUGGCCCAACCCCUUGUGGGAGGGAGCUGUCGAAGGUGGGACUGGCGAUUG
rnacentral:rRNA from 1 species